GAAAGCCCCGACUGCUCGAGGACUGAGGUAUUCCACUACUUAGCAGCAAACUUCUUUUUAAUGAAAUACCAUCUGACAAACUGCCUUUAAGAAUUGUUUAUGAGAAGAAGAAAAGAAGAUUGAAAUACCAGUCAUCUGUAGCAAAGGGACUGAUGCUACUGUCUCUACCCUCCUGCUCCUGUGCUGAGUGCCUUUUAAAGUCCAAGAACAAGCAGGACUUGGAAGACCGUUCAGAUUAAUCUCCAUCUUCUCCACUUCAUCAUUUCCUUCUUAUGCAGAUCACACUGAACUCAUCUGGCAUCAAGGUGUUUGGAAGAAAAAGAAACCACUUGUGUGUACGGUGACAUGGGGAUCAGCAAGCAGUACUGCAUCUGCUACAGCCCCACAGCUUCUUUUACCUGCUGUAACUAUUGGGUUGGAGGGCAACACCAUCCGCCUUCGAGCUGACUCCUGAGUUUUGAACACCAUAUGGUGUUCAAAGAAGCAGAAGAAGCAGAAGAGGAAAGUGAUUUUCUCUCGUGUAAAUUAGUGGUGUGGAGAUGGGGAAAAUCUAGCCUUGCAGUUUUGAGACGUUUAUAAACAAACAAUAAUGAAAGAAUGAAAGCCAGAGAAGAGAAAAAAUAAUCUAUGAGGCAAACAACAUUGUCGGUGAUAGGUAUUUGUUUUUCCAUUCAUAAUGCCUGAAGUACUUGUAAUAUACAAUAUCCUGCAAACUGUUCUUGUUUUGCUUUUUCCAAAAGCAUGCCAGACUCGGGACAAAGCUCUGUGAAGAAAUAUUGUACUGUAUUUGUUUUUAAAAAUGCCAUUGAUUGGAGAACAGAAACUACCCUUCCCAUCUUCUGUUUGUUUGUCUGAGAAAUUCUAGUUUCUAUUUGCAGUGACUUUUUCUAUUCUUUCAAAAUUGCCAAACAUCGGAGGGAAAAAAAAAAAAAAAAGGAUUUUAAAGUGAAAGUAUUGAUUAAACAAAGAAUUUGCUCUUCCCUUCAGUGCUGAGUGUAUUUUUGGAAAUAAUUUUGAGCAGAAUAGCUACCAGUAUUUGAAAGGAACAUCUGCAGUUCAUCUAGCAACUGGCUCUCCAAACGCUCCCAUGUGUGCAU
rnacentral:lncRNA from 1 species